CUUCGUUUCUCUUGCUCAGAACAGCAAGGCGGGCCUCGGCAGGGCGAUUGUUCCUCUUCAUCACAGGUAAGACACCAAACUAUUCUUCGCCAUCCCUCUCUCGAGUCAUCUCUAUUUUGUCUCUCCCUCUCCCUCUGUAUGUCGGCCGCACGUGCCUUCUCUCCCUUCCUCUCUUUAUGUCGGCCGCAUGCCAUGGAGCAGCCAUCAUCUUCUGUCCAUUUUUCAUGCUUACCUUGGUAACUUGCCCUCCCAUCAUCAUCCAUUUUUUGUUUUGUGCAAGUACAUCCAAGAAGGCUACCUGUUCAUCAAAUCAAAGGUUCCCAAUAUUGCUUGGCGCAAGGCUGGUUACGCAGGAUCAUUUCCAAAGCUGGGGAAUUCAAGCAGCUAGCCAAUGCUAUAUAUGUAACAAACAAGUAGAGAGUAGCCAUCAUGUUGUCAUUGCUUGCACUGUAGUAUCUAAGGUAUGGUAUAUGGUUGUUAAUCGUUUUGGCAUGAGAAGGGUCCCCUGGCAAAACAUUCAAGCUGAGAUCAAAUUUGGAGGAAGGUUAAAUUGAAGCAAAACUGGCUAAAAACAAAUGAUGACUCAUAAUGUUUCACAUAGCAAUUUGGAGGUGUGGUGGAUAAGAAGUAUGAUAGCUCAUGGCGAUGAAGAAGCAAUUAAUGUUACGUGUAUGCAAUCUAUUGUAUGGCAAUGGUGCAGGCAGUCCUUUAUGACCAUGAAUUGGAAUGAUGCAGACAAGAAAAAGGUUGGCAUCUGGCUUGAAACAGCGUUGAAAUGUGUGGACGUUGGAGCAGAGGAGACGGGAUUUGUCACAGCUUAUGUGGUAGUUGUAAAAUGAGUUAAAUCGAUUCUAUUAUAUGCUUGCUUUUCCAACAGCUUAGAAUCUUGGAAUUGAAUAAAGUGAUUUAGAGGUGAAAAUGCUCAA